ensembl:lncRNA
CAGGAAACUAAACAUAUAUUUAUCAUCAGAAUGCAACCUCAAAAGGUGUGACUCAUAAUGACGUUAAGGUCUAGAACCUUGGCAGACCAAAGAAUCUGCACUGCUCCUGAGAAAGCUGGCCAUAGAGAAGAAUAGGGAUGUGGGCCUGAGUGAGCUGUGACUCAUCCUGGGUGCACCUCUCCCAAUGCUGGGCACCCCUCUACAGGCUGAAGAAAUCUCCAACUUCCAUUCCAUCUUCUGAGAGUCCUGAGAGGCACAGCAUGGGGCUGGGGCUUUUCUUUGGAUUAUGUUGGGAUGUUUACCUUCAUCUUUUCGUUAUUCUCAUUUUUCAUAAGCCUCAAAUUACCUACUCCUCCUGCCUGGUUUCUCUGGCUUUCCGGGACCUGCAUAGUCUUCAUGCAGGUGAAUCUGGCUGUACUCAAGUCUGAGGAAUAAGUUCUGAGUCUUAACUCCAAGGCAAGUUAGUCACCUUGUCUUCUGCAGGGCUGGCAGUUUGUUGGACACUCAGCUUGGUGCAAGGAGAUCACCAGCCUUACUCUCCUGCUGCCACGAGUGAAUUCCCUGAAACAAUUGAUUGUACUCCGAAAUUGUGAGCCAAAAAUUAAACUCUUCCUCCUGUAA